GGGGAAUAUUGGACAAUGGGGGAAACCCUGAUCCAGCAAUGCCGCGUGAGUGAAGAAGGCCUUAGGGUUGUAAAGCUCUUUCGCCCGCGAAGAUAAUGACGGUAGCGGGAGAAGAAGCCCCGGCUAACUCCGUGCCAGCAGCCGCGGUAAUACGGAGGGGGCUAGCGUUGUUCGGAAUUACUGGGCGUAAAGCGUACGUAGGCGGAUGCGCAAGUUGGGGGUGAAAUCCCGGGGCUUAACCUCGGAAUUGCCCUCAAAACUGCACGUCUUGAGACCGAGAGAGGUAAGGGGAAUUCCUAGUGUAGAGGUGAAAUUCGUAGAUAUUAGGAAGAACACCAGUGGCGAAGGCGCCUUACUGGCUCGGUACUGACGCUGAGGUACGAAAGCGUGGGGAGCAAACA
rnacentral:rRNA from 1 species